UAACCACCUCUAGUGA
rnacentral:tRNA from 1 species